UACGUAGGGCGCAAGCGUUGUCCGGAAUUAUUGGGCGUAAAGAGCUCGUAGGCGGUCUGUCGCGUCUGCCGUGAAAACCCGAGGCUUAACCUCGGGCUGGCGGUGGAUACGGGCAGACUAGGGGUAGGUAGGGGAGAAUGGAAUUCCCGGUGUAGCGGUGAAAUGCGCAGAUAUCGGGAGGAACACCGGUGGCGAAGGCGGUUCUCUGGGCCUUACCUGACGCUGAGGAGCGAAAGCGUGGGGAGCGAACAGG
rnacentral:rRNA from 1 species